rnacentral:lncRNA from 1 species
GCAGAGCCACCGUCUUCGGCUGCUGCUGUUGCUUAUCAGGAUCGAGGCAAGGGCGUCGCGAGUUAGAGCCCUACCCGACGAGCCGAGCUAGAGGUGCCCCCACUGCAGGUAGUUGUUUUUGGUUGGAGUUCAUGUAUAUACAGACGUUUUUCUCGCCAGUGCGAGUAGUUUUGUAUCUUGAAUUUGGCGUAUUUUUAUGGAACUCGGUUUGUUUUAUUACUGAUUCUUCUAGCAGCUCUAUACUACUAUUUGUAGUAUUGUAUGAUUUACAGGUAUAGCUAUCGCUUCGUAUACAGGAAAAAUUUCUUUAUAUACGGUGGAUUUGUCGGCGUGCCCGGGGAACGUGUAUUCCGGGGCGUGACAUUUGUCAUUACAAAUAUAUCCCUCCAAAAGUCAUACUAGUAUAAUAUAAAGGAAUAAAAAUAUUAAAAACUAACUAGGGUUAAGUAUUUAACUUAUGGUUAGCUAACUUUUUCUAAUGGAUUCUAACGACAUGGACAAAUUUGAAAAUAUCAGAAUUUUUACAGAGACAACAUAUGGAAGUUCAACUUUGUAGGGAUAUAUUUGCUUUUCACUACGUUUGCAAAGAUAUGUAUGAAAUUAACCCUUUUUUUAAUUAUUUAUAAAGUUGGAUAUUUGGUAGAUAAUAAGUGUGAUAAAAUAUCUAGAAUUAAAUAUUGCAUUUGGUUUUCAGAUUAUUUUUUCGAGAUAAAAUAAACUACC